rnacentral:rRNA from 1 species
GGAACUUCCGCAAAUGGACGAAAGUCUGACGGAGCAACGCCGCGUGAGUGAUGAAGGUUUUCGGAUCGUAAAGCUCUGUUGUUAGGGAAGAACAAGUACCGUUCGAAUAGGGCGGUACCUUGACGGUACCUAACCAGAAAGCCACGGCUAACUACGUGCCAGCAGCCGCGGUAAUACGUAGGUGGCAAGCGUUGUCCGGAAUUAUUGGGCGUAAAGGGCUCGCAGGCGGUUUCUUAAGUCUGAUGUGAAAGCCCCCGGCUCAACCGGGGAGGGUCAUUGGAAACUGGGGAACUUGAGUGCAGAAGAGGAGAGUGGAUUUCCACGGGUAGCGGUGAAAUGCGUAGAGAUUUGGAGGAACCCCAGUGGGGAAGGGGACUCUUUGGUCUGUAACUGACGCUGAGGAGCGAAAGCGUGGGAGCGAACAGGAUUAGAUACCCUGGUAGUCCACGCCGUAAACGAUGAGUGCUAAGUGUUAGGGGGUUUCCGCCCCUUAGUGCUGCAGCUAACGCAUUAAGCACUCCGCCUGGGGAGUACGGUCGCAAGACUGAAACUCAAAGGAAUUGACGGGGGCCCGCACAAGCGGUGGAGCAUGUGGUUUAAUUCGAAGCAACGCGAAGAACCUUACCAGGUCUUGACAUCCUCUGACAAUCCUAGAGAUAGGACGUCCCCUUCGGGGGCAGAGUGACAGGUGGUGCAUGGUUGUCGUCAGCUCGUGUCGUGAGAUGUUGGGUUAAGUCCCGCAACGAGCGCAACCCUUGAUCUUAGUUGCCAGCAUUCAGUUGGGCACUCUAAGGUGACUGCCGGUGACAAACCGGAGGAAGGUGGGGAUGACGUCAAAUCAUCAUGCCCCUUAUGACCUGGGCUACACACGUGCUACAAUGGACAGAACAAAGGGCAGCGAAACCGCGAGGUUAAGCCAAUCCCACAAAUCUGUUCUCAGUUCGGAUCGCAGUCUGCAACUCGACUGCGUGAAGCUGGAAUCGCUAGUAAUUCGCGGAUCAGCAUGCCGCGGGAAUACUUCCCG